CGCAAGCCUGACGGAGCAAGACCGCGUGAGGGAGGAAGGCUCUUGGGUUGUAAACCUCUUUUAUCAGGGAAGAAGAUCUGACGGUACCUGAUGAAUCAGCAUCGGCUAACUCCGUGCCAGCAGCCGCGGUAAUACGGAGGAUGCAAGCGUUAUCCGGAUUUAUUGGGCGUAAAGCGUCCGCAGGUGGUUUGACAAGUCUGCUGUUAAAGCGCGAGGCUUAACUUCGUAACGGCGGUGGAAACUGUCAGACUAGAGUAUGGUAGGGGUAGCGGGAAUUCCCAGUGUAGCGGUGAAAUGCGUAGAUAUUGGGAAGAACACCAGCGGCGAAAGCGCGCUACUGGGCCAUAACUGACACUCAUGGACGAAAGCU
rnacentral:rRNA from 1 species